UACGUAGGGUGCGAGCGUUAAUCGGAAUUACUGGGCGUAAAGCGUGCGCAGGCGGAUUGUUAAGCAAGAUGUGAAAUCCCCGGGCUCAACCUGGGAACGGCGCUUGUGACUGCACGGCUAGAGUACGGCAGAGGGGGGUGGAAUUCCACGUGUAGCAGUGAAAUGCGUAGAUAUGUGGAGGAACACCGAUGGCGAAGGCAGCCCCCUGGGCCAGUACUGACGCUCAUGCACGAAAGCGUGGGGAGCAAACAGGAUUAGAUACCCUGGUAGU
rnacentral:rRNA from 1 species